rnacentral:misc_RNA from 1 species
UGCGGCUGGGUCCCCUCCUUUCUAAGGAUUUUUACAUGACGUACGUUUUGACACUUUGUUCAGUUUUGAGAGUUCAAUCUCUCAAUUAUAGAAAGCACACUACUUUCUUCUUAUCAAAUAAGAAGAAUUUUGGUUGCGAUUGUUCUUUGAAAACUAGAUAACAGUAAUUGCUGAGGAAAAGUGAAACUUUUCUUUAAUCAAAUCAAUAAAUAACACAACAUUAUGUUGUACCAUUUAUUCGCUAAUGGUUAAGUUAGAAAGGGCGCACGGUGAAUGCCUUGGCACUAGGAGCCGAUGAAGGACGGGACUAACACCGAUAUGCUUCGGGGAGCUGUAAGUGAGCUUUGAUCCGGAGAUUUCCGAAUGG